UGUGGAUCUGUAGGGCAGAGAGAGGAGGGGUGAAGCCCAUGGCCUUAGUACAGCCCCACUCACCCUCACCCCCAAAUACUACCUACCCAUGGCCACGGCCCUGCUUAAGCCCCACUCUGGCCAGGGGAGACGUUCCCUGUCCCUGCAUCCUGAGGCCACCUCCGCUAUAUCUGAACUGUUCAGCCCCCGUCAUUUUCCUGCCUGUGUCAUACUGUCAUGCUGCCCUGUUAAGUGGCAGUCAUCCCUGUUGGGUUGGAAGUUCCCUUCCUAAGGGUGGGAACGGGGACUGUCCACCACUGGGUGUCCAGGGCUCAGCACCAGGCCCGGCAUGUGACUGUGCACGUGGUAAAUGUUGGAUAAAGAUGUUCACUCAACAGAUAUCAAGGGGCCACUCUGGGUUUUCAGUUCUGAGGUCAAGAUCUCUGCAGUGCUCCUGACGUCCUAGUUUGGGGGAGACAGAAUCUGAGGAACCAAAGACAAGUACAGAUACUGCAUCAUCAUCUGUGGUGGGAAGAGGCCCAUGUGAAUGCCACGUGAACCUGAGGCAUGAAAGUCCUUGCCAGCCCCAAGGGUACUGCUCCAGCUGCCGCCUCCAGGGGCCUGUCCCUCUGCAGGUCCCCAGCUCUGUCCCUCCCUCCCUCUCCUGCUCAGGCUGAGACUUGCGUUUUCCUGGGAACGCCACCUCUAGAAGCCAACUCCAAGGCCCUCUCUCCCGAGUCCCUGCCCGGAUGACAAGCUCCCUCCUUGGAAUGUUUUCCCCACAAUCCUCAUGAGAACACCGUGAGCCCAGGAGGGAAGUUCCUAUUCACAGCUGGGGAAACUGAGACCCAUGGAAGGAAGAUGACUUGGCUCAAGUCCUUCAGCUCCCCUGAUGCCUGCAGCAGGGCUCUCACAUCAUGCCUGGCCCCGUGUGGCUCAUUGCUGGUGUGAUCUAAAUUCUACACAGGGAGUAGCAGUGGGGGGUCUCUGAAGGGAUGUUGGAGUCGCUGCCUCCUGCCUUCCCCGUCUGCACAAGGACUCCAAUGUGGAGGUGAGUGUCCCGUCUGGGCUGUGUCUCAGGUGUGCUCCCUCAAAAAGAAAGCGCAGAGCCCAGGCCCGGAGGCCCGGAGGCCCGGAGCUCCCCUCGACAGGCUGAGCCCCGCCUUGGGCUCCCAGAUGAGGUGGUCCAGGACCGGGAACGAUUUAGUUCUGCUGAGGUUUCAGUUACAAACUCUGCCAUCACGCUGGAGCCUAGUGAGGUUCCCAGUUGGAAAAAGAAAAACAGUUCUUUCUGGCUGGCUGAAGAAACGGCCCCAGCAAGGAGCUGGCAAGUGUGUAAGUAAACACGGCUCCAGCCGGCACAGUCGGGCUCUGUCAAGACUGGCCCUGAGGCUGCAGAGGCACCAGAGGGUCUAGGAGAAGGCGCAACUGUGGGGAGAGAAGUGGGGAGACAGGCCUGCCAACCUUGUUGAGGCAUCAGGAGAUGUUGGCCUCUCCCCACCUCUAGAGGUCUGGGAAGCUCCCACGGCCUUCUGCAGCCCCUGCUGGAGCCUAGGUGGCGAGCUCAUGAUUGCACAGCUGCCCAGACCACCUGUCCAGCAGUUAGAGCUCAGGACCCAUGUGACAGGCUCUGAAGCUGCAGCCCCACAAUGGAUGGCUACCUCUGCACAGCGAAAGACCUGGAUGCUCUAUUCAUUCAACAGAAUACAGAAGGCACUGGGAAUAGAGUGAACAAUGACAGCCAAUGCACAGCUGCCCACAAAGGUGGGCUCCUGGGGGAGGGUCAUCCCUCCGAGAAGAGGGCGGCACCAAGACCCACACACCUGAAAAAUGUGGUACUUCAUGUCGCUGAUCUCGAUGGUCUUGCUGCUGUCCCCAUCCUGUUCUGAUUUAUUGGUCAUUAGUGUCUUGAACCUGGAGCAAAGGAGACAAAGCAAGGUGGGUUUUGAACCUUUUACUCCACCCCUGUGUGGCGAUGGCACCAUCUGUCACCUGAGCGGCCACCACAAGACGGAGCAUUUAAAAAAUUACUGCUGUGCUCCUAAAAUAAUUUUCAGCAAGUGCCAUUUUACACCAUCUUAGGAAGACAUCUGGGCUGAGCCCGAUUCUGUCCCCACCACCCACCAUACAAGCAACCUGACGCCUGUGGCCAGAAUGCUGACUCUUCAUUCCAGAAUAUUUAUGUUUUCUAAUAAUCAAAAGCAAUAACUCGGCCACAAAGAACACCACUUCAGAGCCCCCCUUUCCUGCUGCCCCGGGUUCACCCUGUCUUGUCCCGCUGUGGGGCGAGUGGGGCUCCCCUCGACGUGACCGCAGUCUGAGGGGCAGAGGCUGCAGGGUACAGCCCCAGCGAGACACUGUCACCUCGAAUCUGAAACAAGGUGCUUCUGUGCCCCUGGGCUGGGAGUUUGUUAUCUGAGGCUGCCUACCUGUUAGAAGCUGUCACCAGCAGGACUUUAUGUGCAUAAAACAGCUUUCCUUCCACCAGGAAGGUCACAUCUGA